GGCCUGGUGGUGUAAUGGAAACAUACCUGCUUCAUGUGCCAACUGUGCUAUUGAUUGUAGCAGGAGAUCCUUGUUCGACUCAAGGCUGGGCCA